UGGAAGAAUCAGAUUUUUGAAAGUAAUUUU
rnacentral:piRNA from 1 species